rnacentral:rRNA from 1 species
AAAGAACCAAUAUUUUUGGUGAUUCAUAAUAACUUUACGGAUCGCAUCUUUGAUGCGACAUAUCAUUCAAGUUUCUGACCUAUCAGCUUUAGACGGUAGGGUAUUGGCCUACCGUGGCUAUGACGGGUAACGGGGAAUUAGGGUUCGAUUCCGGAGAGGGAGCCUGAGAAACGGCUACCACAUCUAAGGAAGGCAGCAGGCGCGCGAAUUACCCAAUCCUGACACAGGGAGGUAGUGACAAGAAAUAACAAUACAGGGCCUUAACGGUCUUGUAAUUGGAAUGAGUGAAGUAUAAACCCCUUUACAAGUAUCAAUUGGAGGGCAAGUCUGGUGCCAGCAGCCGCGGUAAUUCCAGCUCCAAUAGCGUAUAUUAAAGUUGUUGCAGUUAAAAAGCUCGUAGUUGGAUUUCUGUUGUAUGAUUAUAAUUGAUAUCAAGAUAUUAUUAUAUCAUCAACAUCCUUCCUAUUACAUUAAUUGUAUAGGAAAUUUUACUUUGAGAAAAUUAGAGUGCUUAAAGCAGGCUUCUGCCUUGAAUACUCCAGCAUGGAAUAAUAAGUAAGGACUUUUGUCUUUCUUGUUGGUUCUAGGAUAAAAGUAAUGGUUAAUAGGGACAGUUGGGGGCAUUCGUAUUUAACAGUCAGAGGUGAAAUUCUUAGAUUUGUUAAAGACGAACUACUGCGAAAGCAUUUGCCAAGGAUGUUUUCAUUAAUCAAGAACGAAAGUUAGGGGAUCGAAGACGAUCAGAUACCGUCGUAGUCUUAACCAUAAAC